AUUAAAAUAUAUUUUGCGGUACAUCAUUGCUGGUAUUUCGUGAGUAAAAAGCGAGAAAGAACUCCUCUUCCGGCACUAGUAAUCCGCAUAGGUCAUGGAUCUGAAAAGUUGCUCGAAUGGGCUUGCAAAAACAUUUCAUGACAGUGUUUGUUAUACUGAUGAGAACAGUGUGUUAUGUUCCAUAUUGAGUAUAUCGAUUCAAUCCUUCCCAAACAAGUAAAAUGAACGAUGCAUAACAUGGAUUCAACGAUUCAGAAUGAGUCAACGAAAACUGCUUGGGUGCAAAUCACAUUUCUCUGGAAAUAAAUUUCGUUCCCCCCAAUUUGAACCGUCCAACUAAGCGAGUAAUUUUGAGGACUUCUUCUGUACCCGCUGCUUACUGUCCCUACUAAGGAGUUGAGCCGUAAUUUUAUCGAUUGUCGUUCAAUGCGUG